ACGUAGGUGGCAAGCGUUGUCCGGAUUUACUGGGUGUAAAGGGCGCGUAGGCGGGGCUGCAAGUCAGAUGUGAAAUCUGAGGGCUUAACCCUCAAACUGCAUUUGAAACUGUAGUUCUUGAGUAUCGGAGAGGCAGGCGGAAUUCCUAGUGUAGCGGUGAAAUGCGUAGAUAUUAGGAGGAACACCAGUGGCGAAGGCGGCCUGCUGGACGACAACUGACGCUGAUGCGCGAAAGCGUGGGGAGCAAACA
rnacentral:rRNA from 1 species